rnacentral:rRNA from 1 species
ACUGAACGCUGGCGGCAGGCCUAACACAUGCAAGUCGGGCGAGCGGUGGACGGGUGAGUAUUGUAUGUGGAUCUGCCUGAUGUUGGGGGAUAAUUUCCGGUAACGGUACCUAAUACCGCACACCCUCAGAGGAACUCAUAUGGGUUUCGUUUGUAGGUUAGGUAACUGCUCACCUAGGCGACGUUCCCUAGCUGGUCUGCGGGGAUAAGCAGCCACACUGGGGCUGAGAAGCGGCACAGACUCCUACGGGAGGCAGCAGUGGGGAAUAUUGCACGAUGGGAGCGAGCCUGAUGCAGCCAUGCCGCGUGUAUGAAGAAGGCCUUCGGGUUGUAAAGUACUUUCAGUCGGGAGGCGUUACCGACAGAAUAAGCACCGGCUAACUCCGUGCCAGCAGCCGCGGUAAUUC